UUCUCUCAUCUUCUCCUCUAUGUUUCUCCAUUAAUUGCUCAUGAAGACAGGAGGAUAAAUUAAGGCUCUACAACAUGCAUUCAACAAGAAUUUUUCACCCAAGCAUUCAUGGCAAUGGUAUGGAAAGGAAAAGAUGAAGAAUUACCAACGGACGGAGAUUUGUUCCGGUUAGAAGUUGCUUGCGGACGACGUGUCGAAGAGAAAUGGAAAACUUCGAGAGAAAGGUUAGCAUUGGGGUGAAAGAAUGGGCUCGAGGCGACAUUGGAAAGUGAAGAUAAAACCAUGGAAAUGAAGCUUCUGGAAGAGGAAAAAUUGUUGGAAACUUGUAUCAUGUAACAUGUAACAUAACCAUGAAAUUCUUGAUGAAAUGCUUAUAUGGCAGGUCUAGGAAAAUUUAGGAGUUAAAAUCGAGUCAAUGGUCAAAAGUUGACUAAAAGUUAACAGUUGACCAAAAAGUCAAUAAUUGACCGAAACGUCAACUUUACCAAAUUGAUGUAAUUUUUUAUUCUCUUUCCUUGUAAUCUAUUAUUUUAACUUGUAUCUCAAGUAAUAAGCAUUGUGCCAUGAAUUUCCAUGAAUGAAUGAAGUAUUCGUUGAAUUUCCAA